rnacentral:rRNA from 1 species
UACGGGGGGAGCAAGCGUUGUUCGGAUUUACUGGGCGUAAAGGGCGCGUAGGCGGCGCAACAAGUCACUUGUGAAAUCUCCGGGCUUAACCCGGAGCGGCCAAGUGAUACUGUCGUGCUAGAGUGCGGAAGGGGGCUACUGGAAUUCUCGGUGUAGCGGUGAAAUGCGUAGAUAUCGAGAGGAACACCUGCGGCGAAGGCGGGUAGCUGGGCCGACACUGACGCUGAGGCGCGAAAGCCAGGGGAGCGAACGGG